rnacentral:misc_RNA from 1 species
GUCCCCCAUGGGACUGAAAGUGGCAGAGUGAACAGGCCCAGAAUGACCUUGAAAUAAUGUAUAAGACCUCUUCCCAAUUGUAUGCCCUGUCACUGGAUCACUAGUAGACACAUCAUUUUCAUCCUGCAAAACAGUAUUGCCAGCUUGUUGUCCCAGCUUUGCCAUGUCCCAUACCUUCAAAGAGGAGUCUGAAAAUCCACCAGCAACUAAA